CUUUUAGCUAAUUGGACAGCUUUGCUGGAGUCCUGAACAUUGCUGAAUGCAGAACCAAAGCAUCUGGAACAUUCAGAGACAGGAAAAUUUACUUUUCUGAACUGCCGCCAGGGCUUGGAAUUUCAGUGAUGAUCUAUGACCUGCGAUACACUGUCAGAAGAUAUGAAGUCCAAGCCAUACCCUUGAGAAUAUGUAUACAUGGAAAAAGGAAAGCUACACAGAAAGGACCGCACCAUGUCAGGAUGCAGGAGCGAUCUCUUCCCUGCUUGGAGAAAAGGCAUUGAUUUGUUCCUAACACCAGGAGCUGUUCUAAUGAGGAGGUGCUGAUAAGUGAAAUGAAACCACAGAGUGCAAGCACGUGGAGUGCAAACCCGUGAGUCACAUUAAAUACGAACUCAACCUGCACUAAUGUUAAUUGUCAUUCAGUUUAUAUCAACAUGAAGCUUAUUAAACCAUAAAGUGAGGCAUCUAGCACCAAGAGCAGCACUGGAGACAAUUAAGUGUAAUAAGUGUUUUUCUUAAUCCCUCCAAACCCAAGAGAUGCACAAGUUACAGAUGAACAUCCUGUU
rnacentral:lncRNA from 1 species